rnacentral:rRNA from 1 species
UGGGGAAUAUUGCACAAUGGGCGAAAGCCUGAUGCAGCGACGCCGCGUGAGGGAUGACGGCCUUCGGGUUGUAAACCUCUUUCAGCAGGGACGAAGCGAGAGUGACGGUACCUGGAGAAUAAGCCCCGGCAAACUUCGUGCCAGCAGCCGCGGUAAUACGAAGGGGGCUAGCGUUGUUCGGAAUUACUGGGCGUAAAGCGCACGUAGGCGGGUCGUUAAGUCAGGGGGGGAAUCCCGGGGCUCCACUCC